rnacentral:rRNA from 1 species
UGGGGAAUAUUGCACAAUGGGCGAAAGCCUGAUGCAGCAACGCCGCGUGAGUGAUGAAGGCCUUCGGGUUGUAAAGCUCUGUCUUCUGGGACGAUAAUGACGGUACCAGAGGAGGAAGCCACGGCUAACUACGUGCCAGCAGCCGCGGUAAUACGUAGGUGGCAAGCGUUGUCCGGAUUUACUGGGCGUAAAGGAUGCGUAGGCGGAUACUUAAGUCAGAUGUGAAAAUCCCGGGCUUAACUUGGGAACUGCAUUUGAAACUGGGUAUCUAGAGUGCGGGAGAGGAAAGUGGAAUUCCUAGUGUAGCGGUGAAAUGCGUAGAGAUUAGGAAGAACACCAGUGGCGAAGGCGACUUUCUGGACCGUAACUGACGCUGAGUCACGAAAGCGUGGGUAGCAAACA